rnacentral:lncRNA from 1 species
AGGGAGUCUAUGAGACCCCAAUUGUAAUAUACCGGAUUCUUAAUAUAAAAGUAAGUGUAAAUAAAAAUAGUGUAAGAUACUAUUUUUAUUAGAUUUAAAGAAGUAAAAUAUAAGUCAGAAAUGACUUGUGCUGAAAUUGGAAUGGAAACAUAAGAUUUAGAAUUUUCUGUAAAGAACGGGGCUGAUAUUUUAGCAGAAAAUUCACAGUGUCAGAAACUUAUGAAAAUUGAAGAAUACGUCGGAAUUAUUUUUAUAAGGCGAGAUUUAAAGUUUCAUAUUAUUCCGACACCCGAAAAGUGGAAAAUAAAAUUUGACUGCUAUUUGCUAGAGAUUUUAGUCAGUAAAGCUUUCGGUGACAAAAAAUGGUUCAAAACUGAAAAGUUAAGAUAUCGUUCUUCUUAUUAAUUUUAACCAAGCUUGAUUGUUAAAUUUGAGCUCAAACGGAAUUCAAAAGGGCUCCGGCGAAAAGUAUCAGAUUCUGAACUGGACUAAAUUAUAAGUAGUAUGUGUUAGGGGGCCUAAAUGUG